rnacentral:rRNA from 1 species
AUUGAACGCUGGCGGCAGGCCUAACACAUGCAAGUCGAGCGGAUGAAGGGAGCUUGCUCCUGGAUUCAGCGGCGGACGGGUGAGUAAUGCCUAGGAAUCUGCCUGGUAGUGGGGGAUAACGUCCGGAAACGGGCGCUAAUACCGCAUACGUCCUGAGGGAGAAAGUGGGGGAUCUUCGGACCUCACGCUAUCAGAUGAGCCUAGGUCGGAUUAGCUAGUUGGUGGGGUAAAGGCCUACCAAGGCGACGAUCCGUAACUGGUCUGAGAGGAUGAUCAGUCACACUGGAACUGAGACACGGUCCAGACUCCUGCGGGAGGCAGCAGUGGGGAAUAUUGGACAAUGGGCGAAAGCCUGAUCCAGCCAUGCCGCGUGUGUGAAGAAGGUCUUCGGAUUGUAAAGCACUUUAAGUUGGGAGGAAGGGAAGUAAGUUAAUACCUUGCUGUUUUGAUGUUACCAACAGAAUAAGCACCGGCUAACUUCGUG